AGCAGUAGCCACGGUAAUACGUAGGUGGCAAGCGAUGUCCGGAAUUAUUGGGCGUAAAGGGCGCGUAGGCGGACUGAUAAGUCAGGGGUGAAAUCCCAAGGCUCAACCUUGGAACUGCCUUUGAUACUGUUUGUCUUGAGUUCGAGAGAGGUAAGUGGAACUGCGAGUGUAGAGGUGAAAUUCGUAGAUAUUCGCAAGAACACCAGUGGCGAAGGCGGCUUACUGGCUCGAAACUGACGCUGAGGCGCGAAAGCGUGGGGAGCAAACAGGAUUAGAUACCCCCGUAGUCCCUGUCUCUUAUAC
rnacentral:rRNA from 1 species